rnacentral:rRNA from 1 species
AGCGAACGCUGGCGGCAGGCCUAACACAUGCAAGUCGGACGAAGCCUUCGGGCUUAGUGGCGGACGGGUGAGCAACACGUGGGAACGUACCUUUUGGUUCGGAAUAACGCAGAGAAAUUUGCGCUAAUACCGAAUGAGCCCUUCGGGGGAAAGAUUUAUCGCCGAAAGAUCGGCCCGCGUUGGAUUAGGUAGUUGGUGUGGUAAAGGCGCACCAAGCCUACGAUCCAUAGCUGGUCUGAGAGGAUGAUCAGCCACACUGGGACUGAGACACGGCCCAGACUCCUACGGGAGGCAGCAGUGGGGAAUCUUGCGCAAUGGGCGAAAGCCUGACGCAGCCAUGCCGCGUGAAUGACGAAGGUCUUAGGAUUGUAAAAUUCUUUUACCAGGGACGAUAAUGACGGUACCUGGAGAAAAAGCCCCGGCUAACUUCGUGCCAGCCGCCGCUGUAACAC